GAAAUAUAGGAAUUACUAAUUUAUCAAAAAUAUGCUAGUAGCUAAAAAUAGGUUAAACAGUAAAAUGGGUUAUUAACACAACAAUUCAUUCUUAAAUAAAGCAAGCUUUAUAGCAGGCAGAAAAGGUAAUCAAAAGAAUUAAAUCUUUCUACCCAUACAGAUAGUGCCAUUUCACUGAUUUUCAAGCUUUAAAGAGCAAAUCAUAUAAACACACUAUUCUGUUUGACAAUUGCAAUAAACAUCUUCCAGUUAAACUACAAGAGAAGAACGACAAAUUGAAUGAAGCCCAAAAAGCUUCUGCGUUAAAUUAAUCACUUGUGAGUAUAAACUUUUCAGAAAUAGAAUUGAUCAACAGACAACAAAAUUGAAUUAAAU
rnacentral:misc_RNA from 1 species